rnacentral:lncRNA from 1 species
CUUCUCUGCAGUGGUUUCUCCUCUGCCGGUUUUCUUUUUGGUACCUGUGUAUCAGCAGGUACAACAGAAUGCUAUUCAAGCUGUCACUGUGAUCAACAAUGUACAUAGCAAUGGCCGCUUUUUAACACGACCAUGUCUAUGUCUCACAAGUAGAACAUAGAGUUCUUCAAUUCAAAAAAUCUGCAGGCUUACAAGAAUAUUAUAAUGCUUUUGCAGCAAUAUCGCUCUGUUUUUUUACAGCCAUGGUAGCAUUUUGCACAAAUAGACAACAUCUCUACGCUGAAACAAUUAAUGACAUCAAUUCCUCUGCGCAAAAUCAGUUAAAUCCGGCAACAAGGAAAGUACUUUAUUUAUUUACUACCCCAUUACUGUUAAUCUGCUUCUCCACCAGAGCAGACCAUCCAGAUAAAACCGUUCCGUCAUGCUCUUUCUCCUCGAGUCCUCGUCAAACUCUUCC